rnacentral:lncRNA from 1 species
ACCAUUCAAAUUCAAAUUAUAAACAUACCUAAUUUAAUCCAUUUUACCUAGUUUAUGAAUAUUUAAACAUCAAUUUAACAUGCCAUAAUAAAACUUCAAAAACAAACACAUGUAUAUAUAUACCAAACCAAUAUUAAACUUAUAACUUCAUUUACAUUCAAUCCACAAAAUAACUAUUAAUUUGACACCCUAGGUACAUGCCGACACAAAAGAUAGAUAUCGCCACAUUUGAGUUAGGGAUAGUUGUUGGAUGCUGAAUCGGCAAUCAUAAGUUAAGUACCUAACCUGCGGAUGGAAAACAAAACCGUACGUUGAGUAUAAACUCAGUGGUAUUUCUAUAAUUCGAAUAUUUAAAGAUAAGAGAUUAAAAGUGUAUAUUUGAAAUAUAAACACAUAUUAAUAUUAUUUAAAAAUCAUAACUACCAUAUGCCAACUCUUUGAAUUCAUACAUAAUAGCAUAUCAUAUUUCAUUUGUUUCACAAAUAUCCCAAUUCUCAUACUUGUUAUAUAAAUAGUUUUUCAUAAUUUGUUUCACUUUUCAUUUAAACAACGGCAUUAUCCAUUCCAUAUUCAAUUCAUGAGUAUAUAACUCAUAUAUUCCAUGUAUUUACAACAUAUUUCACAUUUUAUUUUUAAUUCAUUAUUUCACUUCCAUUUCUCAUACCAUGCCAUUUCAAUAUCAAUUAUAAAACUUUAUUAUUCAUUUACCCCUAUUAACACGACCAGACUAACACGGAUAUAUGGAUCCAACCAAAACAAACCAGUUUGGCACCCAGUGUCUCAUCGGAUAAUUCGAAGUAAUAAUUUGACACCUAGUAUCUCAUCGGCUAAAUCGAAGUAAAUUGGCACCCAUUGCCUCAUCGAAUAUAUCCGAAGUAAUAAUUUGACACCUAGUGUCUUAUCGACUCGAAGUCAAAGAAAUCCCUGAACUCUUCCAAUCCUAUGGCAUGCCAUCUAUAUCCUACUUAACCCGAUACAGUUAAUAGGGUUUAAUUUCACUUUUCAAAUAAUCAAUUUAUUCAAUAUAUAUACCAAUUCAAUCAAUAUAAAUUCAAUAAAUUUAUCACAUACUAAAUCAAUCAAUUUCAAUUACAAAACACAAUAAUUCUCACCUCAACACUUACCAUAUACAUUAAAUUGAAUUAUAACAAUUAACAACUAAAUUCAUAUUAUAGAAAUACAAACUAGAAAUUCUGAGCUAUUCCUCGUCGACUUUAUCUUUUCCCUUUUUAGUCGAGGGUUCCGAUACGACGUUAGCUACAGAAUUAGAACAAUUAAAAAUCAUCAAUACAACACAAUUUAAUUUCAUAUUGAAUAUUUAAUUUUUACUCAAAUAUUGCCUAAAUUUCAAUUUAGUCCCUAAACCGAGACUAACUUUUAUUCUUCACAUUUGAUUCUUUAUUUUCAUGUAAAUUCCACUUUAGACUAAAUUCAACUCCUUAUUUUCACAUAAAUUCUUAAAUUUCAAUUUUUUGCAAUUUAGUCCCUAUUACACAAAAUUUACUAUUUGUUCUACAAUUUAAUCCUUUUUCAUUUGUAGCUUAAAAAUCUAUCAAUUUAAUCCCUAAUACUAAAAUUAUUCAACAUUAACAACACCUAAAAACUCAAUAAUUUCUAAAAUUUUGGCAUAGGUCGGGUAGUAUUUAACACCGGGAUUCUAAAAACAUAAAAAUUAAAAGAAAAAGGAACUAAAUUGACUAACCAAUUGAACUUAAAACUUUGAAACCCCUAAGUCCCUUCCUCAUUCUCAUUUCUCUCUUUUCUUUUUCCUCUUUCUUUCUUUUCUAAUUCGUUUGGAUUUCUCUGUUUCUUAUUUAUUCAUUCUUUAUUUAUUUGUUUUAUUAUAAUAUAAUAUAAUAUAUAUAUACUUAAUUCUUAAGGUAAAUAUAUUAUAAUAAUAUAUAUUUUAAUUAAAAUUUUAUAAUAUUUUCAUCCUUAUGCCGCCUCAUUUAAAGAUAAUGGCAUAAUUUCUUCUUUGGUCUCUUUAAUUUUUCUUUAAUCUAUGAUUCAACUUUUACCCUAUAUACAAUUUAGUCCUUUUACCUAAUUACUCUUAAUUCAUACAAAUUUACCUAACCAAAGCCUAAUUUACUAUAAAUAUUUACAAGUCCAAUUUACGGUAACGGAGUCUCGGAAAUACAGUUUCCGACACUCCUGACUAUCGGGUGGUUACAAUUCUGGUCGGAUUGAUGAACGAAUUACCCAUUGAUCCCAAAAUGUUUCAUGCAUCUCCUUCAAGGGUUGCGGACCAUAUACGAUUAGAUAGAUGACUCUUGAUGCCUAGUCUUGCCGAUACUAAUAUUAUUUUGUAAUAGAUACUCUCAUAUUUUUGUCACCAAAAAGAAAGUUGGUCUUAUAUGAAUUCAAGUAGGACUCGAGUUGUUUAUCUUAGUUUAAAAUUUUUAUUAUUUAAAGUAGUUUUAUAUUUAAUUAUUAGAAAUAAAAGUUCUUAAUUAUGGUUGGUUAGGAUAAUUUAGUAUGUCUUAGGAGUUUAUUUAGGAUAUUAAAUAUUUAUUUAUUUAGAAUUCAAUUAUAUAAGACUUGCAAAACCAAUUUUUUAAUUAGUUGUUAGGAGUUUAGCCAAGCAUUAAAGAAUGGAGAUUUGAGUUUAAUAAACUUGGCCAUUAGCCUUCCUUUCCAAGGUUUAGCCAUUUACCUUAUAUAUUUUCUUGUUAUCAUUAUUGCUAAGUCACAAGUUGAUUAGAGGUGACGUAAAAUAAAUUUCCUUCUUAAUUUUACAUUAAAAUCAUGUUCUUUUGUUGAUUUUUUGAAUUUUCUUGUAACACCCCCUAACCUUAAACCGUCGCCGAAAUAGGGUUAUGAAACAUUACCGGACAUAUUAAAAAUUUACAAAUAAACAAAUCAUAAAUAACCAACAUAUUAAAAAAAUAUAUAAAUCAUAAAUUCAUAUAAACAUUACUAAUUGACUUCAUUCGAUUUUUUUUUAUAAAAAUUUCGGCAGCAUUUCUAUUUAUUUUUACAUUAAACCUCCUGCAAAUAAAACCAUAAAUUUUCCAAACAUAACCAAUUCAACCAAUUCAUUUUGCAUUCACAUUUUCUAUUCUAAAUACAUUCUAAUCAAACCCAAUUAAUUCAAUAUCAAUUUAAAUUUAUCAAUGUACUAAUUAAAUUGGAAUGGAUAAAUUUCUUUCAUUAAAAUUCUUAGAUUUAUAAUACUAACUUUUUUAACUAUUUACAUUCAAAACAUAAUAACGUUUAUACACAUCCUAUGUACAUGCCACAUUACUAAAAGAAAAUAUACAUCACCAAAAUUUGCUGAAGUCGGGUCUGGUUUUGGAUGCUGAUUCAGUACUUGACUUCUACAACAUGCGCACGGAAACAACCGUACGCUGAGUAUUUCAUACUCAGUGGUAUUACUAUAAAUUAAACUAUUUAAUAAUAAAAUUUCAAAUAUUGACCAUAAUCUUAUAAAUUACUUUAAAUUAAAUAUACAUAUUCAUAUAUCAUUCCAUAGAUUUUAAAUUUAUAUAUAUAUUUACAUACUAAUUAAAUUUAUAAUUUAACUCAUACAUUCUUUCUCAUAUUUUUAUAUAGUGUCAAAUCAACCAAUUUCAUUUUCAAAUUUUCAUUUCAAUUAUUUACCCUAUUAACAAGGCUCGAAUUCUGACAGAUACGAGAAUUCCACCCAAACACACCAGAAUAUCCAACCUAAACACACCCGAAAUUAUUUAAAUCCUCCAGAACACACCAAUAAGGCAUUAAAUGCCUCUUCAGAUAAAUCGAAGCAUAUAAUAAUGUAAUCAUCUUCUCGGUCGAACUACAAAUCCCAUCACCACAUCACAAAUCCAAUGGCAUGCCAUUUGUAUCCAAUCUAGUCCGAUAAGUUAAUAGAGUAUUAUUUUACUUUUCCAAUUUCGAAUUCAUUUCCACACAAUUUCAAACAUUCAAACAAUUCAAAACAUCUAUUAUUUCAAUUCACAUAUAUUUCAAUAUAGCAUUUAGUAAAUAGUUUAAGUUAUAGUAAUACAAACCCGGAAUACACGUUUUCUCCUCAACGAUCUUUUCUUUUCCUUUAGAUGCCGAUGCCUCGUUUUCCUUGUUAGCUACGAAAAUAAUAAUUAUUUUCACUAUUAAUUACAGCAUUAAAAAUAAUAAUAAUAUUAAUUAAAUUUUAUUCAAUUCCUACUUAUUCCCAAUUUAAUUCUAACUAAGCUUACUUAUUUUUCUAACUUAAUUCAUACUUCUUUUCUACUUAAUGUCUUAUCAUAUUUAACUCUACUUUUCAAUAUUCAUAAUUAAACCCUAAUUUAAGACUUUUUAUAACUUAAUUCCAACUAUGUAAAAUUUAUAACUUAGUUUACAAAUCAAUCUUUUUAUCUAUUCUAACUAGAAAUUCUAUAAACUAAACCCCUGAUUUAACAGCUUGUUCAAAAACCUAUAAACUUCCAUAACCUCCACUUGAUUUCAACAAAACUUUGUUUUAAAGCUUCUAAAUCAUCAAAAUUAAGAGAAAAGGGAUAAAUUUAACUUACCAAUUAAGCUUGAAGCUUUAAAAUCCAAUUUUCCCCUUUUCUUUUCUUUCCCCUUUUCCUUCCCCUGUUUUCGUCUCUUUCUCUGUUUCUAUUCUGUUCUUCUUUUGUUUCUUUUUCUUUUUU